rnacentral:rRNA from 1 species
AGCCUACGGGAGGCAGCAGUGAGGAAUAUUGGUCAAUGGCCGGAAGGCUGAACCAGCCAAGCCGCGUGAGGGAGGAAGGCGCAGAGCGUCGCAGACCUCUUUUGCCGGGGGACAAAAGGCCGGACUCGUCCGGUCCUGAGGGUACCCGGAGAAAAAGCAUCGGCUAACUCCGUGCCAGCAGCCGCGGUAAUACGGAGGAUGCGAGCGUUAUCCGGAUUUAUUGGGUUUAAAGGGUGCGUAGGCGGCAUUAUAAGUUAGUGGUAAAAUAUUGGGGCUUCACCUCACUACGCCAUUAAUACUGUAGA